rnacentral:rRNA from 1 species
AGUGAACGCUGGCGGUAGGCCUAACACAUGCAAGUCGAACGGCAGCACAGUAAGAGCUUGCUCUUACGGGUGGCGAGUGGCGGACGGGUGAGGAAUACAUCGGAAUCUACUUUUUCGUGGGGGAUAACGUAGGGAAACUUACGCUAAUACCGCAUACGACCUACGGGUGAAAGCAGGGGAUCUUCGGACCUUGCGCGAUUGAAUGAGCCGAUGUCGGAUUAGCUAGUUGGCGGGGUAAAGGCCCACCAAGGCGACGAUCCGUAGCUGGUCUGAGAGGAUGAUCAGCCACACGGGAACUGAGACACGGUCCAGACUCCUACGGGAGGCAGCAGUGGGGAAUAUUGGACAAUGGGCGCAAGCCUGAUCCAGCCAUACCGCGUGGGUGAAGAAGGCCUUCGGGUUGUAAAGCCCUUUUGUUGGGAAAGAAAAGCAGCAGGUUAACACCCCGCUGUUCUGACGGUACCCAAAGAAUAAGCACCGGCUAACUUCGU